rnacentral:rRNA from 1 species
UUUUCCUACGGGGCGCAGCAGUGAGGAAUAUUGGUCAAUGGGCGAGAGCCUGAACCAGCCAAGUCGCGUGAGGGAAGACGGUCCUAUGGAUUGUAAACCUCUUUUGCCGGGGAGCAAAAAGCGGUACGUGUACCGCAUCGAGAGUACCCGGAGAAAAAGCAUCGGCUAAGUCCGUGCCAGCAGGCGCGGUAAUACGGAGGAUGCGAGCGUUAUACGGAUUUAUUGGGUUUAAAGGGUGCGCAGGUGGCGAGCUAAGUCAGCGGUAAAAUUUCGGGGCUAAACCCCG